AUACGUAGGGGGCGAGCGUUGUCCGGAAUGAUUGGGCGUAAAGAGCUCGUAGGUGGUUUGUCGCGUCGUCUGUGAAAUUCCGGGGCUUAACUCCGGGCGUGCAGGCGAUACGGGCAUAACUUGAGUACUGUAGGGGAGACUGGAAUUCCUGGUGUAGCGGUGAAAUGCGCAGAUAUCAGGAGGAACACCGGUGGCGAAGGUGGGUCUCUGGGCAGUAACGGACGCUGAGGAGCGAAAGCAUGGGUAGCGAACAGGAUUAGAUACCCUGGUAGUCCAUGCCGUAAACGGUGGGCGCUAGGUGUAGGGGUCUUCCACGACUUCUGUGCCGUAGCUAACGCAUUAAGCGCCCCGCCUGGGGAGUACGGCCGCAAGGCUAAAACUCAAAUGAAUUGACGGGG
rnacentral:rRNA from 1 species